GAUGAACGCUGGCGGCGUGCCUAAUACAUGCAAGUCGAGCGAACAGAUGAGGAGCUUGCUCCUCUGACGUUAGCGGCGGACGGGUGAGUAACACGUGGAUAACCUACCUAUAAGACUGGGAUAACUUCGGGAAACCGGUGCUAAUACCGGAUAAUAUAUUGAACCGCAUGGUUCAAUAGUUAAAGACGGUUUUGCUGUCACUUAUAGAUGGAUCCGCGCCUCAUUAGCUAGUUGGUAAGGUAACGGCUUACCAAGGCAACGAUGCGUAGCCGACCUGAGAGGGUGACCGGCCACACUGGAACUGAGAAACGGUCCAGACUCCUACGGGAGGCAGCAGUAGGGAAUCUUCCGCAAUGGGCGAAAGCCUGACGGAGCAACGCCGCGUGAGUGAUGAAGGUCUUCGGAUCGUAAAACUCUGUUAUUAGGGAAGAACAAAUGUGUAAGUAACUAUGCACGUCAUGACGGUACCUAAUCAGAAAGCCACGGCUAACUACGUG
rnacentral:rRNA from 1 species